AUUGAACGCUGGCGGCAUGCCUUACACAUGCAAGUCGAACGGUAACGGGCCUUCGGGUGCCGACGAGUGGCGAACGGGUGAGUAAUGCAUCGGAACGUACCUUUCAGUGGGGGAUAACGUAGCGAAAGUUACGCUAAUACCGCAUAUUCUGUGAGCAGGAAAGCAGGGGAUCGCAAGACCUUGCGCGGAUUGAGCGGCCGAUGUCAGAUUAGCAAGUUGGUGAGGUAAAGGCUCACCAAGGCGACGAUCUGUAGCGGGUCUGAGAGGAUGAUCCGCCACACUGGAACUGAGACACGGUCCAGACUCCUACGGGAGGCAGCAGUGGGGGAUUUUGGACAAUGGGGGCAACCCUGAUCCAGCCAUGCCGCGUGAGUGAAGAAGGCCUUCGGGUUGUAAAGCUCUUUCGGCCGGGAAGAAAUCGUAUGGGCUAAUACCCUGUGCGGAUGACGGUACCGGCAUAAGAAGCACCGGCUAACUACGUGCCAGCCGCCGCAGUAAAAC
rnacentral:rRNA from 1 species